UACGUAGGGUGCGAGCGUUAAUCGGAAUUACUGGGCGUAAAGCGUGCGCAGGCGGUUCGUUAAGUUCGUCGUGAAAGCCCCGGGCUCAACCUGGGAAUGGCGAUGGAAACUGGCGGGCUGGAGUGCGGCAGAGGGGGGUGGAAUUCCACGUGUAGCAGUGAAAUGCGUAGAUAUGCGGAGGAACACCGAUGGCGAAGGCAAUCCCCUGGGCCUGCACUGACGCUCAUGCACGAAAGCGUGGGGAGCAAACAGG
rnacentral:rRNA from 1 species